GAGGCUAUAGCUCAAUGGAUAGAGCGCUACCCUCCGAAGGUAGGACUUGUGUGAGUUCGAUUCUCACUAGCCUCACCA
rnacentral:tRNA from 1 species